UCUUGUAGUAUCCUGCAGAGGGUGUGAGCGUUGUUAACAGUGCGGAUUCCUUCAUUCGAAGAUUCGGUGGGUCACAUACUCCGUUUUGUUAAAAUGUUCUCUGCAACUGAUGAACAACAAAAACAAAUCAUCGUGAUCUCCAUUUGGAGUCUUUGGUUCCAUAGAAAUAAGCUAGUUCAUGAAGGAGCUUAUUUCUCGAUGCAGGAGGUGCUAGGGUUUAUUCGGGGAUAUGUGCACAACAUUUAUCUUAGUUUUAUGUCUCCUUGUUCCCCUCCUAGACCACUGAUUAAGGAGAUCUGGAGACCACCGGACCCAGGAGUUAUCAAGUUAAACUUUGAUGCGUUAUUCCUAAAGGAGGAGAAGCUUGCUGUAACAGCAGUUCUAGCCAGAAAUUUUACAGGUGAGAUUGUAGGGGCAGAAACUUAUCUCUUUAAUGAUGUUGUCAAUGCGUUUGUGGCAGAAGCUAGGGCUUGUGAAAGGGCGCUAAUCUUCGCGAGUAGGAUGUGUUUCCGUCGACUAGUUGUGGAAGGCGAUUCGCUGACAGUUAUAAAAAAUGUUAAAAGAAAGGAGAAGGAUAAAUCAAUGCUCAGACCGAUUACACAUCACAUCUAUAUUUUGGGUAUGUCUUUUGAGGAGAUAUCUUACCUUGCAGUGACUCGAUUGAUUAAUGAGGCGGCUCAUACACUGGCAUUGGAGGGCCGGAGAUGAAAGAUCUAUGGGGAUUGGCUCACUGGAGUGCCUGAAUCAGUCCGAUUAGCGGCAUUGUAGGACCGUUUGGCUUGGGACCGGCGGAGCUGAGUUCAUCUUGGUGUACUUUGGAAACGGAGGAGGGUCGUCCUAAGUGCUUGUUCUCUCGUUAUACUUCUUCCAGAAUCUGAUGGUGAGGAGGGAAAUGGCUGAUAUUGGGUGUAAGACAGUGGUUUUCUUUGGCUCAGGUGUUGUUUUCUGAUGGUUUGGUAUUGAUUGUUUCUAGGCUUUUUUUUUCUUUCUUUGUUUUUUGUUGGUGCUUGCCAGCUGUUUUGUUAGUUGUUUCAUGUUACUUUCCUUCUAACGUUUCAGAUACUGUUUGUCUUGAGCCAUUUAUUAAUAUCAGUCUUUUUUUAGCUAAAAAAAAAAACAAAUCAAUUUAGUGCUCCAUUUAACUUUACAACAAAAAGUUAACGUUUGUUAAUUUUGCUGACAUGGCAU
rnacentral:lncRNA from 1 species